UGUGGGUGUCAAAUACGGUCGUGUGUGACAAGGGGAUUUGUUGCUCAGGUCCUGGACAUAGAACCCUGCUGGAAUCUUUCACCUAUUGGAAUGCCUCAAAGGUCCAAAAUGGUAGCCACUAGCACUUGAAAUGUGGAUAGUUCAAAUUGAGAUGAACUGUGAGUAUAAAAGACACAUUGCAUUUCGAAUGCUUAAUGCAAAAUAAAAUGUAGACUAUCUCAUUAACAA